rnacentral:RNase_P_RNA from 1 species
CGCUGCGUUCUCUGCUACCAACAAUGCUCUUCUCCUGCUGAGCGGCAGUCGAGAAGAGCAUUUUCCUUGCAGAUGAGAAAUUCGGAGUAAUCUUCAAAUCAGCCUGGGGCUUGAGUCAUCUCGACUCUCGCCCUCAGGACUGCCCGCGAGGGUCCAGCACGAUUCGUGCCCACAACUGGCAUCAGAAACUUACAGGGCUCCUUGACGACCGUGUUCGACUUGUCGUCCGCGUGUCGUUCUUGGAGGAUUCCCUAUGGAAGAGCCAUUGUGAAGAUUGUAUGGCGCGUCUCCUUGAUGAGAGCGGACUUACUUUAGUGCAAUCGCAGCGGAAGUCUGCCUGUUUCGAGGAACAGGCCAGGUUUCAAUUCGAUUCCGAUUACUCUGGGGAGCG